AUGGCAACGCUCAAGGACCAGCUGAUUGUGAAUCUACUUAAGUAAGAACAAACCCCCCAGAACAAGAUUGCGGUUUGGUGAGGUUGGUGCUGUUGGCAUGGCUUGUGCCAUCAGUAUCCUAAUGAAGGACUUGGCCGAUGAGCUUGCCCUUGUUGAUGUCAUGGAAAACAAGCUGAAAGGAGAGAUGAUGGAUCUCCAGUACGGCAGCCUUUUCCUCAGAACACCAAAAAUUGUCUCUCGCAAAGACUAUAGUGUGACUGCAAACUCCCAGCUGGUCAUUAUCACAGCAAGAGGGAGAGAGCCGACUCAAUCUGGUCCAGCGAAAUGUGAACAUCUUCAAGUUCAUCAUUCCCAAUGUUGUGAAGUACAGUCCAAACUGCAAGCUGCUUAUUGUUUCAAACCCAGUUGAUAUCUUGACCUACGUGGCCUGGAAGAUAAGUGGCUUCCCCAAAAGCCGAGUUAUUGGGAGUGGUUGGAUUCAGCUCGGUUCCAUUACCCGAUGGGAGAAAGACUGGGCAUUCACCCGCUAAGUUGUCAUGGAUGGGUCCUAGGGGAGCAUGGAGACUCCAGUGUGCCUGUGUGGAGUGGUGUGAAUGUUGCUGGUGUCUCCCUGAAGAACCUGAACCCAUAAUUGGGCAGUGAUGCACACAAGGAGCAGUGGAAGGAGGUUCACAAGCAGGUGGUUGACAGUGCCUAUGAGGUGAUUAAACUCAAAGGAUAUACAUCCUGGGCCAUUGGCCUCUCCAUGGCUGACCUGGCUGAGAGCAUGAUGAAGAAUCUUAGGCGGGUGCAUCCCAUUUCUACCAUGAUUAAGGGUCUCUAUGGAAUCAAGGAUGAUGUCUUCCUCAGUGUCCCUUGUAUCCUGGGACAAAAUGGAAUCUCAGAUGUUGUGAAGGUGACUCUGACUUUUGAAGAGGAGGCCUACUUGAAGAGGAGCGCAGAUACACUCUGGGGCAUCCAGAAAGAGCGGCUGUUCUAAAGUCCUCAGAUGUCCUAGAGCUUCACUGUCCAGGCUGCAGCAGGGUUUCUAUGGAGACCACACACUGUCUCCUCAUCUGAACUG